UUACCUGAUAAACACUUGCGUUACUUACGAACAAGAUGAUUUCUCAAAUUGUAUUGGUAUCGCUUUUAUCAGCAUCUUCGCUGGCCAUGCCUUCAUCACCACUACCUCCUUGCAUCUGUAGUGAUGGAACGGGCAUAUAUCCGGGACAGACUCAUAACGUCACAGACUGUGAUAUAUGUAAAUGUAACGAACAAGACGGUGUAUCCACUGAUCAUAUCAACUGUUCCCUUCCAGGGUGUGUUAAACCGUAUUCUGUAGAAGGAGAUGGAGUAUGCUGUCCAUCCUGUCCUAAAGGUCCAGAUUGUGAAGCUAUCGGUGGUCCAGAACAAAUCAACCCAAUCAUAAUUCCGGCAGAUGGUGAAGUACAUUAUCUUCUAGGUUAUGCGUGUUCAUGCAAUGGUCCUAGUCCAGCCAAUGCAAGUUGUUUUCCAUACUCAGGCCCAACAUGUCCUUGUAGUAACCGACAAUGGACAAUUCCAGGGCGCCCGCUGUAUAUAUCAGACUGUGAUGUAUGCACAUGUGAAGAAGAUUACAACCGGUAUGAUUCUUAUCCUUGUCAUUCCCUUCCCUGUGUUGAUCCAUUCAGUGUAGAGGGUGAUGGUAUUUGUUGCCCAUAUUGUCCUAAUGGUCCUAACUGUGAACAUUUUACUCAUGAUGGAGUCCGACAUAUUAUUCCUGAUAAUGGUACCAUACCUGUCCCUGGAGGUCCCUGUUAUUGUACUCCUUGGGACCAUAGUGGCUAUAUGCCAAGAACAGCACAAUGUGACCCCCCACUACCACCCGUCUCCCCCACCAGCUUCUAGAUGGUUGAUACGUCAACAAAAUCCGUUUGUAUUAAUUCACUAUUAAACCGUACACCUCUAGGUAAACCAUAUUUACUCUCGAGGUUUUAUUGACACCAUAUUCAUAUUGGAUGACGUACACCUGUACUAUCAACUGAUGAUCUGUUAACUAGUCUCUUUCAGCGCUCUUUUAGUUAUCUGUCCCUGUUUUAUGGUAUAUUAUUCUACCAUUUAGUUAAAAAUUUUGUACAUCUUUAUAUUUUUUAAAGAACAACUUAACCACGUUUAUUUAAACAAGUUUUUAACUGACUGUAUAUCCAACUUGUCCAUAAUUUUGAUUUUAUGAUUAUAUUGUCAUUUUGUAAAAUGAUGUGAAAAGGCGCACUAUAAUUAAUAUGCUGUAAUAAUAAUAAUAAUAUAUACUGCUCACUGUACUGUAAACCCUAAAGGACAGGGGGGUCUAGGGGAUAUUUGAAUUCGAUACGCAUAUUUGAUGAAGUACUCAUGUACAAUAACAUGAUACGAUUAAAUAGACCACUCUUUGUUGUA